GAUGAACGCUAGCGGCAGGCUUAACACAUGCAAGUCGAGGGGCAUCGAGUUGUAGCAAUACAAUGUCGGCGACCGGCGAAAGGGUGCGUAACACGUGAGCAACUUGCCCGUAUCAGAGGGAUAAUCGAUGGAAACGUUGUCUAAUACCUCAUAAUAUAAUGUAAGGCAUCUUAUGUUAUUGAAAACUUUUGUGGAUACGGAUGGGCUCGCGUUACAUUAGCUAGUUGGAGAGGUAACGGCUCACCAAGGCUACGAUGUAUAGGGGUUCUGAGAGGAAGGUCCCCCACACUGGAACUGAGACACGGUCCAGACUCCUACGGGAGGCAGCAGUGAGGAAUAUUGGUCAAUGGGCGGAAGCCUGAACCAGCCAUGCCGCGUGAAGGAAUACAGCCCUAUGGGUUUUAAACUUCUUUUGACGCAGAGCAAUAAGGUCUACGUGUAGAUUGAUGAGAGUAUGCGUUGAAUAAGCAUCGGCUAACUCCGUGCCAGCAGCCGCGGUAAUACGGAGGAUGCAAGCGUUAUCCGGAUUUAUUGGGUUUAAAGGGUGCGUAGGCGGUAGUUCAAGUCAGAGGUAAAAUAUACCUGCUUAACAGGUAGAUGUCCUUUGAUACUGUUCUGCUUGAAUUAUUUUGUCGUGGGAGGAAUGAGUAGUGUAGCGGUGAAAUGCAUAGAUAUUACUCAGAACACCGAUUGCGCAGGCAUCUCACGAAGAAUAUAUUGACGCUGAAGCACGAAAGCGUGGGUAGCGAACAGGAUUAGAUACCCUGGUAGUCCACGCAGUAAACGAUGAUAACUAUCCGUUGGGGCAUUCAAUGUUUCAGUGGACCAGCGAAAGCGAUAAGUUAUCCACCUGGGGAGUACGACCGCAAGGUUGAAACUCAAAGGAAUUGACGGGGGCCCGCACAAGCGGAGGAACAUGUGGUUUAAUUCGAUGAUACGCGAGGAACCUUACCCAGGCUCGAACGGCAUACUGAUUAUAUAGAGAUAUAUGAGCCCUUCGGGGAGUAUGUCGAGGUGCUGCAUGGUUGUCGUCAGCUCGUGCCGUGAGGUGUCGGCUUAAGUGCCAUAACGAGCGCAACCCUUUUCUUCAGUUACCAUCAAGUAGAGUUGGGGACUCUGGAGAGACUGCCACCGCAAGGUGUGAGGAAGGCGGGGAUGACGUCAAAUCAGCACGGCCCUUACGUCUGGGGCGACACACGUGUUACAAUGGUGACUACAGAGGGAAGCUACCAAGCGAUUGGAUGCAGAUCUUCAAAAGUCAUCUCAGUUCGGACUGGAGUCUGCAACUCGACUCCACGAAGCUGGAUUCGCUAGUAAUCGCACAUCAGCCAUGGUGCGGUGAAUACGUUCCCGGGCCU
rnacentral:rRNA from 1 species